CACGUAGGGGCCAAGCGUUGUCCGGAUUUAUUGGGCGUAAAGAGCUCGUAGGCGGUUCGACAAGUCGGGUGUGAAAACUCCGGGCUCAACCCGGAGACGCCACCCGAUACUGUCGUGACUGGAGUCCGGUAGGGGAGUGGGGAAUUCCUGGUGUAGCGGUGAAAUGCGUAGAUAUCGUAAGGAAGACCAGUGGCGAAGGCGGGUCUCUGGACAGUUCCUGACGCUGAGGCACGAAGGCCAGGGGAGCAAACGGGG
rnacentral:rRNA from 1 species